rnacentral:rRNA from 1 species
CAGUAGCCGCGGGAAAACAGAGGGUGCGAGCGUUAAUCGGAUUUACUGGGCGUAAAGCGUGCGUAGGCGGCUUCUUAAGUCGGAUGUGAAAUCCCUGAGCUUAACUUAGGAAUUGCAUUCGAUACUGUGAAGCUAGAGUAUGGGAGAGGAUGGUAGAAUUCCAGGUGUAGCGGUGAAAUGCGUAGAGAUCUGGAGGAAUACCGAUGGCGAAGGCAGCCAUCUGGCCUAAUACUGACGCUGAGGUACGAAAGCAUGGGGAGCAAACAGGAUUAGAUACCCCUGUAGUCCCUGUCUCUUAUAA